rnacentral:rRNA from 1 species
AUCACUUGUCUUUUAAAUGAGGACCUGUAUGAAUGGUAUAACGAGGGCUUAACUGUCUCCUCUUUGAAGUCAAUGAAAUUGAUCUCCCCGUGCAGAAGCGGGGAUAAGCUUACAAGACGAGAAGACCCUGUGGAGCUUUAGGCUCCAAGGUAGACAACGUUAAUGCCCCCUAAAUACAGGGUCAAACUAAUUGCCCCUGCCUUAAUGCCUUCGGUUGGGGCGACCUUGGGGAAACAAAAAACCCCCAAAUGGAAUGAGAGCAUCAAACCCUUCACUUACCCACCUCUUAUAACUAUGGGUUAUAACCCUAGUUAACAGAAUUUCUGACCAAACAUGAUCCGGCUAAGCCGAUUAAUAAAACAAGUUACCCCAGGGAUAACAGCGCAAUCCCCUUUCAGAGUCCAUAUCGACAAGGGGGUUUACGACCUCGAUGUUGGAUCAGGACAUCCUAAUGGUGCAGCCGCUAUUAAGGGUUCGUUUGUUCAACGAUUAAUAUCCUACG